CUUCAGUAUAACAAAACAUUUUCUUUUUUUUCUCAACUAUUACAUUAUUACAUUGCAUUUAAAAAUUUUCUUUUAUUUAAGGAAAUUUUGGUGCAUAUUUUCCAAGAUAACUGUUUGAAACAAAAGCAAUUAAAUAAACUUUGUUAUCGAAAAAAACUGAAAAUGAAAAAAAUUUUUGAAUUAAAGAUGGCUAUUGCAUCCAACAAUAACAAUAUUAAUCGAGAAAAAAACCAAGUAUCUGACAAAAUACUCACUCGUUGUCAACGCUCGAUGGCAAGACACAAUGCAGCUCAAUCGAUUCGUACUACUUAUGAAUCAAUGUUGAAAAUAUUGGAAAAGGAUGCCAUUUAUUACGAUACCAUUUCUAGGCAGAUGUUGACAAAUCAGAAAGAACAGAGCAAAUUAAUAUUAAAUACAACGUUGAUGGGACAGUUGGCUGCUGAGAACUUGGAUACUAAUCGUCAAAAAUAUAAUUAUUUAGCCAAGGGAAUUUUAAUGAAUACGAUAGAAAGAGAACGCACUUUGAAAAUUGCCCGUGUACAAGUUGAAUUUGCUCAAUCGCUAAUUCAGGUCAUAUUAAUUAUUUAUAAUUGUUUACCUAUUGGUGAUUUGUUGUCAAUUAUUAAUUACACAUUGUAGAAUGAUACAGUCGAAAAAUUAAAGGAAUCACACAAUGAAGAACUUGAAAAACAAAUACAAACUUUAGAAAAAGUAUUUCUUCAAGUGAAAAAAUCAUUUCACGAACAAUCCAUUGAGUUAUUACUUCCUAGGUGAGUUUUGGAAAAUUUUAAAAACUAAUUAUAGCACAUUAAUUCAUUCUGUUGAAUGUAUGUACCAAAUUAUUUUUAAGACCCGAAGAGCAGUUGACAAAAAAUACAAAUCUUUUCCAUCACCUUCGAUAUAUUGAAGAACAAAAUGAUUUACUAAUAAAGAAAAAACAACACGCUCAAUUGAUUCUUCAUGCUUUUCAACAGACAAUGACUUUAAGCGUAAAACAAUAUAAAUUAAGAAGACUAGAUAUGCUUGGAAAAAUAAAAAUGAAGAAAGAGUCUCAAGAAAAUUUAAAAAUAUUAAGAAAAGUUCAAGAAUUACUAUUAUUAAAAGUAAAAGGAGCAUUAACAAGUAUAAUUGAUUUUAUAAUGGAUGUAAAAAAAUUUAAGACAAAUGAAAAAGAAGAAACUGCGGAUACGAAUGAUGGUUAUAGAGAUUAUUAAUUUUAUAAAAUACUAUUUUUAAACCAUGUAGAAAAAUUAAUUUCUUUUUUAGUGAUGAUUGAUCGAGUAAUUCAAAAUGUUUCUUUGAUGCUAAGUAAUAUAAAUUUCGAUGAAAAGAUGGAUUUUUUAAAAAAAUAUAAAUUAAAAUCUAGUAAAGAAGAAUCAACUGGUAAUAUAUAUAUAUGUAUAUCUAAAAUAUCAAAUUAUUAUUUUCACUAGUAAGUUGAAAGAAAUGUAUUUCUUUUUGUAGAUAUUUUUGAAAAUGAUGAAUACGAAAUCAUAGAUGCAAAUGUUUUAACUCGAAAAUAUAUAAAAAAGCAAAGUAAACAACUUGUUGAAACUCGUUUAAUAUGAAAAAUCCAUAAAAAUAUGAUAUAAAAUUAUUUAUCACUAGUUUUACCAAUUUCAAAGAUUUGUAAUAAAGUUCUAUUUUGUAUAUUGUGUGAUUUGUAUUCUCUAUUUGUUUUAUUCUCAAAGGCAGUGUGUGUGUGUGUGUGUGUGUGUGUGUGAAAGAGUACCGUGAGCAUAAACUCUCUCUCUCUCUCUCUCUCUCUUUACAAAAUAAUAAAUAUUGUUAAAAAAAAAUUUACGAAA